AAGGAUCAUUAUUGAAUGAACUUGGUGUGGUUGUUGCUGGCUCUCUCGGGGGCAUGUGCACACCCACCAUUCUCAUCUCUCCACCUGUGCACCUCUUGUAGACCUGGAUAGACUUUCCGAGGCAACUCGGUCGGGAAGAUUGCUGCGCUCUGUGAGCCAGCUUUCUUUGCAUGUCUAGGCCUAUGUUUUUCAUAUACCCCUAUAGAAUGUAACAGAAUGUAUCAUUGGGCCUUGUGCCUAUAAACCUUAUACAACUUUCAGCAACGGAUCUCUUGGCUCUCGCAUCGAUGAAGAACGCAGC
rnacentral:misc_RNA from 1 species